AUAUAUUUAUUUCUUAAAAUAAAUAACAAAUAAAAAAUAAAAAAAUAUUUAGUAAGCAAAAGAAAAUAAAUUUUAGCAAUUGAAUUUUUAUAUAAGGUUUAAUUAGGAUAUAUUGGAUAUUAUAUUAAUACAACCAAGAAAAAAUGGUAACUAAUGAAGGUUUUUAGAAGUAAUAAAAUGGUCAUUGGGCUUGUUUAGAGAUUUGAAAAUGUGGGUUUAUCUGACGGCUUGUUUGACAUAACUUUUGCUCUUUUUUUCGCUUCUUUAGAAAUGCUUCUUAAAGAAGCUACUCUUUCACUAUCUUUGGUUCAAAGUGCUUCUGAAUGUUUUAAAUACUUUUUAACAAUUGUCAAAACACUUUUAGAAGCAGCUUUUAAGUUUUAAAAGUUUUUGACUUUUUAGAAACUAACAAGGCAUUUAAAUUGUUAGAUCACAUUCUCUAGUAGAAGUUACAGCUAUUAAGAAGUGGACCCAAUAAUAAAUAUUGAGCUUAGUUUCUAAUACACCCCUUCACAUAUAGUCUACUAAUGCGGAGGAAAGAAACUAAGCCAUACAUAUACCAAUCAACUUAAACAAAAAUUCGACACAAUACAAUCUUAGACUUUGUUAUCAAGUUAAAUUGCUAUUAUCCCCAAAGCUACAACUAGCACAAAGCAAGCUCAACAAUGUAUUUGAAGAUUAUUUUUCAGUAUAGAUUUAUAUUUUUCAAUAUAGAUUUAUGUUAGGCAGUUUUUGGUUUUUAUCUCUGAUUGUGAAAAAUCUUUAAUACAUUGAAUAGUUAAAUAAGCAUCAAUGACGUUUUCUACUGAAUUUUGGAAUGCAUGAGGAUUUGAUUAUAAUUUGAGAAAGCAUAAGCAAAACUCAUAAUUUGGCAUCCUGCUGUUAUCUAUACAAGUUUAUCUAUCAAAGGCAGAGGAAAGCUAUCUUUCAGAUUCAAGAAUAAGGAGAGUGGAUGGCUCUUUAAGAAUUAAUGAGGAGGAGUUUGUGGGAUUCAAGGGUGAUUCUCGAGCUACAGGAAAUGAAGGUGAGUACACAGAAAAGAUCGCGGUCUUGGAGCAAUUACAGUGGAUAAUGCUCAUUUUGACCAUAUAGAUCAAAGGAUGGACAGGUCAAAACUUCACCAGGUGGACCGAAUUUGAGGCAAGAAUUUCUUGGAGGCCAAGGUUUAAGUCGAGGAGGUCGCGGACAUUAUAGAGAGGAUUUUGAAGGAGGUAAUUAUGGAGAUAACUUAGAGGAGGAAUUUGAAGACAUCUAUGCUCUCCAAGGAAGGAAAAACCGUGGCAGACCAGCAAGGGAAAAUGAUGAUGAUCUUGGAAAUAUUAAGGUCAAUAUAGCACCUUUCAUGGGAAAAAGUGAUCUGGAUGCCUACUUAGAGUGGAAGGAGCAUAUGGAGAUGAUCUUUGAUUGUCACAACUAUUCAGAGGCUAAGAAAGUUAAAUUGGCAGCUUUGGAAUUUGGUCAUUAUGCACACCAAUGGUGGACAAAUGAGCAAAGUAUCUAAAGAAGAGUUGGAGAUGAACCAAUCACUACUUGGCAACAAAUGAAAGGAGCCAUGAGAAAGAGGUUUGUACCGAGUCAUUACCAUAGGUUGCUGCAUCAAAGACUCCAAUCAUUAUCACAAGGUAGUAGGCCCGUGAAGGAUUAUUACAAGGAGAUGGAGAUGCUUAUGAUGAUAUUGAGCAUGAAUGAAGAUAGAGAAGCAACAAUGGCACGGUUUCUAGGUGGGUUGAAUCGUGAGAUAGCCAAUCAAUUGGAGUUGCAAUAAUAUGUGGAAUUGGAAGAGAUGUUGCAUGUGGCUAUUAAACUUGAGAAUCAAUUCAAGAGGAGGGGUACAAGCUCACGGUUUGGAGGAGUAUCAAACAGUAGAAGGUCAAAUCCAAGUGUUUGGAGAAGCAAUCCCACAUAUGACAAAAAGCCUAAACUAAAGCUAGGUGAUGGAAGUACCAAUCGGCCAAAAAGGAAGGCUAAAACCAAAUCUGUCCAAGUACCAAGGAAUGAAGGUAAAUCAAAUCCUAAACCUUCUAGAACUUGUGAUAUUAUGUGUUGUCAAUGCCCAAAUAGGAGAAUCAUGGUACUGAAAGGUAAUGGUGAGUUAGAAUCCGAAAGUGAAGAUAGUGGAGAUGGAACCGAGCAAGAAGAGGAAGAACUAGAAGAUGAAGCCAAGACCUUAAAUGCUGCAAAUACUGAAUUGAGCUUGGUGAGUAGGAGAGUCUUGACUGUGUACAAAUAUGAGGAUCAAUUAUAAAGAGAGAACAUCUUCCACACUCGAUGUGAAAUCCAAGGUCAGGUUUGUAGUAUGAUAAUUGAUAGUGGAAGUUGUGCUAAUGUAAUUAGUAAUGUGGUAGUUGAUGAAUUAAGCUUAGUAACAAUUAAACAUCCAAAACCAUAUAGAUUACAAUGGCUUAAUGAUAGUGCUGAAAUGAAAGUAAACAAACAAGGCAAAGUAAAAUUCAGCAUUGAUAAAUAUGUGGAUAUUGUAUUGUGUGAUAUUGUGCCUAUGCAUGCCAGACAUAUUUUAUUAUGUACACCAUGUCAAUUUGAAAAAGAUAUUAUAUAUUAUGGUCGAAAGAAUGCAAUUGUUUUUAGAUUUAAAGGUAAAAAGGUCAAGCUAAAACCAUUGACUCUCAAAGAGGUAUUUAGGACCAACUUCAAAUACAACAAAAGAGGGAGGCCGAAAAGCUGAAGGAGAGGUUAAGUAUGGCACCCACGACUUCACCAUCUAUCUAAGGGGUCAAGGCCAAGCAUGACCAACCAGGUAAGUUUUCUAAACUCAAUGGUGAGGGGAAAAACAAAGACAAAGCCAAAAGUGAGCAAAAUUCAAGAAAAGCCGAGAGUGAGAUUAAAUUCAAGGAAUCCAUGAGAGAAAAAGAAAAAGAAGCAAAGAGAAGAAAAAUAAAAUUUUUUAUCUUAGUUUUAGGGAAAUUAAAAAGGAAUUUUUGAGUGAUAAGCCCUUGCUGAUCAUGAUUUAUAAAGAUGUAUAUUUAAAUGAUCAAGCUAACCCUGAAGAACUUGAAUUGCCAAGUUUUAUCUUUUUUUUUUUUUAUAAGAUUUUGAAGAUGUCUUUCCGGAGGAAAUUCCUAAUGGUUUACCAUUUAUUCGAGGGAUUAAACAUCAAAUUAGUUUUAUGCCGGAAGCUGCGAUUCCUAAUAGGCCUGCAUAUAGGAGUAAUUUCGAUGAGACAAAGGAGCUAUAAAGGUAGGUAAGUGAGCUACUUGACAAAGGUUAUAUUUGUGAGCAUGAGUUCGUGUGCUGAUCCUAUUUUGUUAGUACCUAAGAAACAUGGUUCAUGGUGCAUAUGUGUAGAUUGUAGGGCUAUUAAUAACAUAACCAUUAAAAUAUAGGCAUCCAAUUCUUAGGUUAGAUGAUAUGUUAGAUGAGUUACAUGGUGCAUGCAUGUUUACUAAAAUUGACCUUAGGAGUGAGUAUCAUCAAAUUAGGAUGAAAGAGGGUGAUGAAUGGAAAACCACAUUUAAAAUUGAAUAUAGUUUGUAUGAGUGGUUAGUAAUGCCAUUUGGUCUAACUAAUGCAUCUAGCACUUUCAUGAGAUUAAUGAACGAUGUUAUGCGCCCAUUCAAUAGAAAAUUUAUGGUUGUUUAUUUUGAUGAUAUUCUUGUAUAUAGUAGCCAUUUAGAUAAGCAUGUAGAACAUCUUAGGUUAGUUUUAGGAUUAAUUAGGAAAGAAAGAUUGUAUGCUAACUUCAAAAAGUGUGAUUUUUACCAAGAUAAGAUUGUAUUUAUAGGAUUUUUUGUGAUAGUGUUUGACCUAAGAGAUUUGGUUUGAUUGCAUCUAAGAAAGGAGAGGUUUCCAAAACAAUGAAGGUCAAAGCUUAUUCCACAAUAGGAUGGUCUUUUUCAAGUUUUGGAAAGGAUUAAUGAGAAUGCUUACCAACUUGACUUACCAGGUGAUAAUUUUGAUUUGAGGUCAAAUCCUUUUUAAGAGGAGGGGAAUGAUGAGAACCCACCCGUACCCAUUCAACCGACAACCCGCUGGGGUGCAGAUCUUAUAUAGUUGAAGACCGGGCCAAUCACUAGGGCUCAAGCCAAAAAAUUUAAGGACAACCUAUUUAAUUAUAUAAGGAUUUAUCAAUUCUCAAAAGGACUUGUCAAUACCUGAAGAUUCAAAGCCUGUUUUAAGCAUCUAAGUGAUGGAGGCCGAUAUGGACCCCGUUAGCUAUUGUCGUGCAUUUAUGGACUCCGGGCAAGAAGGAAUGGGUUUAACAUUUCUUGAAUUCAAUUGAUAUCAUUAAAAGGUCGUGGAAACAAGUUAAAGUAGAAGCAAAAGCAAUCAAACAGGACAUUUGCGUUUAGAAGGUGUUUUUGGCCGAAAUUGCUAUGUUUGUUGCUGGCUUUACUAUAUUUUGUUGGUUUGGUAAUUUCUCUUUGUUCCAAUCAAAGGCUACAUAUGGGAAUCAUAAUUAAUCCUAUUUGGCAUCCUACAUGGCACAUUGGAUCUGAUUUAGAGCCUUUACAAGAUGGAAAUUGGUCAAAGUUAGCUUACUAGUCAAGCUAGUCAACUAGUUUCCUAAUUUGAGUUUGACUUUUUGUUUUAUGAAACUAUAUUUUUUUUUGGUUUUAUUUAUUUAUUUUUUGGAAAAAUUACUUUAGGAAAGUUAUAAUUUUAUUAUUGUGAUUGUAACUUAGUUAAUUCCUUUUUCAAAAUUAAGGAAUUAAUUAAUACAAAUUAGAUUAGGAAAGGGCGUGAAAUUAGGUAAUUUCCUAAUUUGAUUCUAUGUUGGCUUAAAUUUCAUAAUCCUUUUAGGAUUUUAUUUUGUUCAUUCAAAGCGUAUUUAAAGACUUAUUUUCAAUGAGAAAUCAGCCUACAAUAUUAUUCAAAAAAUUAAUUGUGAGAUAGAAUUCUCUUAGUUCUCUUUGAACACCUAAAACACAAUUAGAGAGUGAGUGUUUUAGUUUUGACUUAUCAAUAGGGCUUCCAUAACCUAUUAUGGCGUCUUCAUUAUACCAAGAUUUCUAAUCACGGGUUGGUUAGGGGUUAAGG